rnacentral:rRNA from 1 species
AACCUGGUUGAUCCUGCCAGUAGUCAUAUGCUUGUCUCAAAGACUAAGCCAUGCAUGUCUAAGUAUAAAUGCUAUACAAUGAAACUGCGAAUGGCUCAUUAAAACAGUUAUAGUUUAUAUGGUAAUCGAAUUUACAUGGAUAACCGUGGUAAUUCUAGACGCUAAUACAUGCUGUUAAGCCCAACUUAUGGAAGGGCCGUAUUUAUUAGAUAACAGACCAAUAUUCUUCGUGUCUAUUGUGGUGAAUCAUAGUAACUAAUCGGAUCGUAUGGGCUAGUCCCUCGACAAACCAUUCAAGUUUCUGCCCCAUCAGCUUUCGAUGGUAGUGUAUUGGACUACCAUGGCUUUCACGGGUAACGGAGGAUU